rnacentral:misc_RNA from 1 species
AAGUCGUAACAAGGUUUCCGUAGGUGAACCUGCGGAAGGAUCAUUAUUGAAAAAGAAAACGCCCCGUUUUUUUCGUAAGAAUGGGUUCAAUACCCACAACCGUGUCUACCUUACCUUUGUUGCUUUGGCAGGCCGCCUCCGGGCGUUAGCUCCGGCUGACAGCGCCUGCCAGAGGACCCAAACUCUGUGUUUAGUGAUGUCUGAGUAACAUAUAAUAUUUAAAACUUUCAACAACGGAUCUCUUGGUUCUG